rnacentral:rRNA from 1 species
GACGAACGCUGGCGGCGUGCUUAACACAUGCAAGUCGAACGGAAAGGCCCUGCUUUUGUGGGGUGCUCGAGUGGCGAACGGGUGAGUAACACGUGAGUAACCUGCCCUUGACUUUGGGAUAACUUCAGGAAACUGGGGCUAAUACCGGAUAGGAGCUCCUGCUGCAUGGUGGGGGUUGGAAAGUUUCGGCGGUUGGGGAUGGACUCGCGGCUUAUCAGCUUGUUGGUGGGGUAGUGGCUUACCAAGGCUUUGACGGGUAGCCGGCCUGAGAGGGUGACCGGCCACAAUGGGACUGAGAUACGGCCCAGAAUGCUACGGGAGGCAGAAGUGGGGAAUAUUGCACAAUGGGCGGAAGCCUGAUGAAGCAACGCCGCGUGCGGGAUGACGGCCUUCGAGUUGUAAACCGCUUUCGCCUGUGACGAAGAGGGAGUGACGGUAAUGGGUAAAGAAGCACCGGCUAACUACGUG